GAUGAACGCUGGCGGCGUGCUUAACACAUGCAAGUCGAACGAUUAAAGCCCCUUCGGGGGUGUAUAGAGUGGCGAACGGGUGAGUAACACGUGGGCAAUCUGCCCCUCACUUCGGGAUAACUCAGGAAAACCUGAGCUAAUACCGAAUACUCCGGUCGGAUCGCAUGGUCUGAUCGGGAAAGCUCCGACGGUGAGGGAUGAGCCCGCGGCCCAUUAGCUUGUUGGUAGGGUAACGGCCUACCAAGGCGACGAUGGGUAGCCGCGCUGAGAGGCGGAUCGGCCACACUGGGACUGAGGCACGGCCCGGACUCCUACGGGAGGCAGCAGUGGGGAAUUUUGCGCAAUGGGCGAAAGCCUGACGCAGCAACGCCGCGUGCGGGAUGAAGGCUCUCGGGUCGUAAACCGCUUUCAGCAGGGAUGAAAUUGACAGUACCUGCAGAAGAAGCCCCGGCUAAAUACGUGCCAGCAGCCGCCGUAACAC
rnacentral:rRNA from 1 species